GGUCCAGACUCCUACGGGAGGCAGCAGUGGGGGAUAUUGCACAAUGGGGGAAACCCUGAUGCAGCAACGCCGCGUGAGUGAGGAAGUAUUUCGGUAUGUAAACCUCUAUCAGCAGGGAAUAGAAAAGAAGGUAUCUGAAAAAGAAGCCCCGGCUAACUACGUGCCAGCAGCCGCGGUAAUACGUAGGGGGCAAGCGUUAUCCGGAUUUACUGGGUGUAAAGGGAGCGUAGACGGAAAGGCAAGUCAGAAGUGAAAGCCCAAGGCUCAACCCCGGGACUGCAUUUGAAACUGUCAGGCUGGAGUGCAGGAGAGGUAAGUGGAAUUCCUAGUGUAGCGGUGAAAUGCGUAGAUAUUAGGAGGAACACCAGUGGCGAAGGCGGCUUACUGGACUGUAACUGACGUUGAGGCUCGAAAGCGUGGGGAGCAAACAGGAUUAGAUACCCCUGUAGGG
rnacentral:rRNA from 1 species